UAAAAUUACCAGGACUUGUACUGGAUUCCCCCACACCCACCUCCUCUUCAACUGAUGACCAGCUCAGCCACCAGCUGCAUCAAUUAGCAAAGAUCUUGUGCUGUGAAAUUCCACCUGGAGCUCAGUUCAGACUCACUGGCCUAUGAAGACAAUGGAGAAGGCUUUUUUUGGUAAAGAUAUGAAAAGCUUUGAGUGUUCAUCUCCAUCGGAGCUUGACAGGAGGUUUUUGGAGGAACAGAGUUGGGUGUCUGCUUUGUCGCUGGAACAAUUGUCUAUGUCAAGAGUAUCGAAUGAGACGAUGGCUGAUGGCUUUGACCCCCGGCUGUCUAUCUUGGCUUCUGUCUGCCUGUUGACGGAGCCCAUUUCUCCAUCCCAGGCCUUUUCAGUUAACAGCACUCAAGAAACUGACAACUGUCACCUGGGCAUACCUUUACAGGCAAAGUCCUCCACUCCCCACGUGCUCCUUCAAAAGACAAAAAAGGCCGCUUGUUCUGACCAGUCGUAUAGUGAAUUCACUUCCUCUCAAAUGUCAUGGGAUGUGUCUUUGAUUAAACCAGAGAAUAACAGCCCCAAGCCACCCAUGGAGUCCAGUGCUCUGGAGCAAACCAGGAGUCCAAAACUCCAGUCUACACAACAUUCACAAGCUGAAGUUUCUCCCUGACCUGGCAAAGAACAUCUCUCAGAUUUGUCUGCUUCUGCAUCAAGGACAAAUCCAAGAUCCAUGUGUAAGGUUUCAUGCAAGAUCUGUGUGUAAUUUUAAAACAUGUUUAAGCUUUAAAUAUAUAAAUAAAGUAUCUGACUAU